UGAAAGGUUUGGCUGGAUCUAUUAUUUCUUCUUCUACAUCUCAUUCUUUCCGAGAUGUUUUAGCAGGACCUUCUUCUUCUAAUCUUCUGGCCUUUUUUGUAGGUUUUUAGAGCUUCGCACUCAUUUUGUGCAGGAUACGUUUGUGGUUGAAAGGGCUAUGCUGAAGGUGCUUUAUACUCCCCUUUUCCUUUUUGUUCGUAGAAUGUUAUUAGGGUCUUUUGUAACUUGGAUUAGAAGGGAACUCCGGCUCUUAGUUUUCUUUUUUAUUUUGUUUGUAGCUCUUCGGAGCAGUAGUGAACUGGAGGUCCCUUUAAGAACCUUGUACCUUUUUCUGAUAUUAACACGUAAGCUCGUCGGUGGGUUUUAACCAAAAAAA